UGGGAAACUGAUAGUCUAGAGUGAGGGAGAGGCAGAUGGAAUUGGUGGUGUAGGGGUAAAAUCCGUAGAUAUCACCAAGAAUACCCAUUGCGAAGGCGAUCUGCUGGAACUCAACUGACGCUAAGGCGCGAAAGCGUGGGGAGCAAACAGGAUUAGAUACCCUGGUAGUCCACGCCCUAAACGAUGUACACUAGUUGUUGGGGUGCUAGUCAUCUCAGUAAUGCAGCUAACGCAUUAAGUGUACCGCCUGGGGAGUACGGUCGCAAGAUUAAAACUCAAAGGAAUAGACGGGGACCCGCACAAGCGGUGGAGCAUGUGGUUUAAUUCGAAGAUACGCGAAGAACCUUACCUGGGCUUGAUAUCCUAAGAACCUUUUAGAGAUAAGAGGGUGCUAGCUUGCUAGAACUUAGAGACAGGUGCUGCACGGCUGUCGUCAGCUCGUGUCGUGAGAUGUUGGGUUAAGUCCCGCAACGAGCGCAACCCACGUAUUUAGUUGCUAACGGUUCGGCCGAGCACUCUAAAUAGACUGCCUUCGUAAGGAGGAGGAAGGUGUGGACGACGUCAAGUCAUCAUGGCCCUUAUGCCCAGGGCGACACACGUGCUACAAUGGCAUAUACAAUGAGACGCAAUACCGCGAGGUGGAGCAAAUCUAUAAAAUAUGUCCCAGUUCGGAUUGUUCUCUGCAACUCGAGAGCAUGAAGCCGGAAUCGCUAGUAAUCGUAGAUCAGCCAUGCUACGGUGAAUACGUUCCCGGGUCUUGUACUCACCGCCCGUCACACCAUGGGAGUUGAU
rnacentral:rRNA from 1 species